GCUCUCGUAGCUUAAAUAAAGCAUAACACUGAAAAUGUUAAAAUAGGCCCUAAUAUAGGCCUCGAAAGCA
rnacentral:tRNA from 1 species